ACUGCAAACAUACACAUUUUUUCUUUUUUUCUUUUUUCUUUUUUUUAGAAAAAACAUUAAAGUAAUAAAAACCGCCAAUGCUGAUAUGGUCCGGUGAAUCGUCAACGUUGUUACUCGCAGUCACAGAUAGAAACCCUUGUUGGAAUGUGGUGAUGAGAUAGUGAAUCAAUGGUGAAAGCAGUAGUGGGAGACGAGACUCAACUCAAAUUUGCAGAGGACCGUCUCAGCCGAUCGGCCAUCCCCGCUCAGGUGGGUCUUGUGAUUGGCAAGUUGAAUUCCACUAUCGACCGUGGUUUUGUGUUUGACUUGGUUCCUACACCGCCAAACGAUGCCGGAGAGCCUGCCUGUUCCCUCUCUGAGGCCCCCAAAGACGAUAAGAAGAAGAAAGGGCCAAAGACCAAAUCUCUGCAUGAUUCCUCAUCCUCUUUGCUUAUCGAUCAAGAUUGGGUUGUUGAACACGCUCGUCAGGUAUCUAGAAUGCUAGUGGGUGGAAUGAAGGUAAUUGGUAUCUAUAUAUGGGCCAGUGAAAGCUCUUUCAAGAAUUCAACGAUAAUACUUUGCCAGACUGUAAAAGGAGUUGCAGAUGCUGCAUCCAUUCUGGAGACUGAUCGGGAUGAGGGACUGCUUAUUCAUAUUUGUUAUAGUCCAAUGAAGUGGACAUGUCGAAAUUGCACGUUGACUUCAAAUAUCACGUCAAGCAGCCUACGGCCUUGCGAUUUCAAAAUGGGAAGGGUCUUAACCUCCAUUCAGACAUUUAGGUGCAUGUACAACUUUGAUAUAAGAUUGCCCAUAUAUCAUGACAGUGCAUCAAAUGCCAAAACAUUGACAGAUAUUCUUCGGUAUGGGAUAUCAAUUCAUGCCAAGGAGCUAAGAGGUGCAAAGGCCAUAAUUGAUGGAUGUUUGGUGGUUGGGGAUGAACCAUGCUCAUCGGAUGGUUUGCAUGAAGUUGAAUUGCUUCUACCUUUUAUGAAAGAUGCAUCAGUGGAAGCAUGCAGCCAAAAAGAAGUUGUUGGCAUUCUCGUCUUUAGUGGUUCUGUGUGUUCUUUUGCAUGCUUGAAUCCAAAAGAACCAAUUUCACAAGCUUUAGCUGAUAUAAAGGGGGAUAUCAUUAUGAGUUUGCAAAGUAGGCUCGAUAUUAUCUGUGAUGAGGCAGAUGGAGAUGUGGGUCCAACUGAUGAUGGUUGCAAAGAAGCAAAUGAUGAGAUAUCCACUGGAAAACCUGUUUCCCAGCUUGUCUUGCACUUAUUGAGAAAACAACAGUGUCUUUCAUUUCCUCGAAGAGUUUUUGUUCCUUGGUUGGCGGGUACAUAUAUCUGCGACUACCUACAACCAUAUGACACUGUUGAGGUUCUGAAAGAUCACUGUGUUGAGCUGAUGUCCAUGGAAGCUCCAACUGAUCCCUCAACAUUUUUGGAGCCAGAAAUAGAAGCCCCUACACUGGCCACUAAAUCUUUCUUGGAUGUGGCAGUUCCCUUCAAUUCAGCAUUCAGCUCUGAGUAUCCCUUACAAAAAAGAGAAACCGGUACAAGAGAAGAAAGUAAUCGGAAGCCUACACAAUCUGCUGAUUUGACCAUGAUAAUUGCUGUUUUGUUGGUUUUCCUGUCUAUCUUUGUAGGGUGGGUGCUCUUUGCUGUCAGGGCAUCUUAGUUGACUAAAGGAAAGCUUUGUCUAUAAACACUAUGGUGUUGAAGUGAGGGGGAUGGGAAUGGUAGGAGAUAGAUUAUUUUGCUUUUAAUUGUAACAAACAGUAUCAUAUCACUAAAGAUUGCACCCUGUUUAAGAGGAUUAUCUGAUCAUGCAAAGCAAUUCCUGAACACCAUUGACACCAUUGACACCAUUGGCACCAUUGGCACCAUUUGGCACUUACAGAUCUUGAUGGUAGGCAUCUUUUUAUCUUUUAUGGGGUCUUGAUUACUGGACACAGAUCCAAGAGGUGGGGGGCUUCUGAUAGCUCUCUUAAUUGUCUCCAUUGAUUGGGUCAUGUAGGGAUUCAACAAUUUAAGUUCCUCUCUGCCGAUUGUGUUUUAUCAGGCAUUGUUAGGUUAUUACUUAAUCUUCUUAUGAAAUGAUAACCUAUGCAUGUUUUAUCAAUCUGAGGAUCAAAAUCAAAACAAAAACUUAGUUGCUGAA